AGAGUUUGAUCCUGGCUCAGGAUGAACGCUAGCGGCAGGCCUAAUACAUGCAAGUCGGACGGGAUUGCGGAGCUUGCUUCGCAUGAGAGUGGCGCACGGGUGCGUAACACGCAUGUAACCUACCUUUAUCAGGGGGAUAGCCUCUCGAAAGAGAGAUUAAGCCCGCAUAAAAUCACAGCACAGCAUUGUGUAAUGAUCAAAUAUUUAUAGGAUAAAGAUGGGCAUGCGGAACAUUAGCUAGUUGGUAAGGUAACGGCUUACCAAGGCUACGAUGUUUAGGGGAUCUGAGAGGAUGACCCCCCACACUGGUACUGAGACACGGACCAGACUCCUACGGGAGGCAGCAGUAAGGAAUAUUGGUCAAUGGGCGGAAGCCUGAACCAGCCAUGCCGCGUGCAGGAAGACGGCCCUACGGGUUGUAAACUGCUUUUAUACGGGAAUAAACCUCACUACGUGUAGUGAGCUGAAUGUACUGUAAGAAUAAGGAUCGGCUAACUCCGUGCCAGCAGCCGCGGUAAUACGGAGGAUCCAAGCGUUAUCCGGAUUUAUUGGGUUUAAAGGGUGCGUAGGCGGCCUAUUAAGUCAGGGGUGAAAGACGGUAGCUUAACUAUCGCAGUGCCCUUGAUACUGAUGGGCUUGAAUACACUAGAGGUAGGCGGAAUGUGACAAGUAGCGGUGAAAUGCAUAGAUAUGUCACAGAACACCAAUUGCGAAGGCAGCUUACUAUGGUGUCAUUGACGCUGAGGCACGAAAGCGUGGGGAUCAAACAGGAUUAGAUACCCUGGUAGUCC
rnacentral:rRNA from 1 species